rnacentral:rRNA from 1 species
UACAGAGGCCUCGAGCGUUAGGCGGAAUCACCGGGCUUAAAGCGUGUGUAGGCGGACUUCUAAGUGCCUUGUGAAAUCCCACGGCUCACCCGUGGAACUGCUGGGCAUACUGGUCGUCUUGAGCCACCUAGGGGCUGCCGGAACAAAUGGUGGAGCGGUGAAAUGCGUAGAGAUCGGAAAGAACACCAACGGCGAAAGCACUCUGCUGGGCCGACACUGACACUGAGAGACGAAAGCUAGGGGAGCGAAUGGG